GCCAGUGUGGUGUAGUGGUUUGAUCGUUGGACUAUGACUCUUAAGACCAGUGUUCAAAUCCCUGCACUGCCA